rnacentral:rRNA from 1 species
UGAGGAAUAUUGGUCAAUGGGCGAGAGCCUGAACCAGCCAAGUCGCGUGAGGGAAGAAUGGUCUAUGGCCUGUAAACCUCUUUUGUCAAGGAAGAAUAAGGAUGACGAGUCAUUCGAUGCCAGUACUUGACGAAUAAGCAUCGGCUAACUCCGUGCCAGCAGCCGCGGUAAUACGGGGGAUGCGAGCGUUAUCCGGAUUUAUUGGGUUUAAAGGGCGCGUAGGCGGGACGGCAAGUCAGCGGUAAAAGACUGCAGCUAAACUGUAGCACGCCGUUGAAACUGUUGACCUCGAGACGAGACGAGGGAGGCGGAACAAGUGAAGUAGCGGUGAAAUGCAUAGAUAUCACUUGGAACCCCGAUAGCGAAGGCAGCUUCCCAGGCUCGUUCUGACGCUGAUGCGCGAGAGCGUGGGUAGCGAACAGGAUUAGAUACCCUGGUAGUCCACGCCGUAAACGAUGCUCACUGGAUCUUGGCGAUACACGGCCAGGGUUCAAGCGAAAGUAUUAAGUGAGCCACCUGGGGAGUACGUCGGCAACGAUGAAACUCAAAGGAAUUGACGGGGGCCCGCACAAGCGGAGGAACAUGUGGUUUAAUUCGAUGAUACGCGAGGAACCUUACCCGGGUUUAAAUGUAGAUUGCAUGAGGUGGAAACACUUCUUCCCUUCGGGGCUAUUUACAAGGUGCUGCAUGGUUGUCGUCAGCUCGUGCCGUGAGGUGUCGGGUUAAGUCCCAUAACGAGCGCAACCCCUAUCGCCAGUUGCCAUCGGUUCAAGCCGGGCACUCUGUCGAGACUGCCACCGUAAGGUGCGAGGAAGGCGGGGAUGACGUCAAAUCAGCACGGCCCUUACACCCGGGGCGACACACGUGUUACAAUGGCCGGUACAGAGGGCAGCCACGGGGUGACCCGGAGCGAAUCUCUAAAGCCGGUCGUAGUUCGGACUGGAGUCUGCAACCCGACUCCACGAAGUUGGAUUCGCUAGUAAUCGCGCAUCAGCCAUGGCGCGAUGAAUACGUUCCC